AGAAAAUCCAACAAACUCAGUAGCUUAGAUCAGAGGCAUCAACUCUUCAAUAAUUCUAUGGCCAAAAAAUUCAACUUAAUUAUUAAUUCUCCGGCCCACACCAGCUUUCCAAGGAUCCACCCUUAUCUUCCAUCUCUCCCCUCCCACCUCACCGGCUCAUCCCCAGCAAAGCACCAACAUGCAGCCUUGUGCUACUCUAUUAUUUAAUUACCCUACAACCCUAAACAAAUGUGAUUAAUUAUAAAGAAAACCAUUAAUCAAACAUGAUCAUCAUGCGAAUUAUUUCAAUAUCACUUUGAAAAAAAAAAAAAAAA
rnacentral:misc_RNA from 1 species